ensembl:snRNA
GUAUUGUAUGAAGACAGACAUUAGCACUCCCCUUGACAAGGAUGGAAGAGGCGCUCGCUCAGGCCUCACAACACGCAUAUGGUUAAGGUACUGCCACCUACUUCAUGGCAUCAAUUAGCCAAAAGUUAAA